GGGGGAGGAUAGGGCCCGGUGGCCCUGACGGUCUUCAAAGCCGCUCUGGGGUAGCAAUGCUCCAGGUGGGUUCGACUCCCACCCUUUCCCGC
rnacentral:tRNA from 1 species